rnacentral:rRNA from 1 species
UUGCACGCUGGCGGCAUGCCUUACACAUGCAAGUCGAACGGCAGCACGGGUGCUUGCACCUGGUGGCGAGUGGCGAACGGGUGAGUAAUACAUCGGAACAUGUCCUGUAGUGGGGGAUAGCCCGGCGAAAGCCGGAUUAAUACCGCAUACGAUCCACGGAUGAAAGCGGGGGACCUUCGGGCCUCGCGCUAUAGGGUUGGCCGAUGGCUGAUUAGCUAGUUGGUGGGGUAAAGGCCUACCAAGGCGACGAUCAGUGGCUGGUCUGAGAGGACGACCAGCCACACUGGGACUGAGACACGGCCCAGACUCCUACGGGAGGCAGCAGUGGGGAAUUUUGGACAAUGGGCGAAAGCCUGAUCCAGCAAUGCCGCGUGUGUGAAGAAGGCCUUCGGGUUGUAAAGCACUUUUGUCCGGAAAGAAAUCCUUGGCUCUAAUACAGUCGGGGGAUGACGGUACCGGAAGAAUAAGCACCGGCUAACUACGUG